CCAAAGCCCAUAGUUUAAAACCAUUCGGUGGCAUAACACUUUUCGGUACUUUCGGAAUAAAGACUUCCUGGGCUCUUUGAUACCUAACCUCUGCAGGAGCACUUUGAAAUACCUGCCUGCUUGAUAUUUGUGCUCUUGUCACACAUUGUUUCCUUAAAAGCCUCAGGGAGCUCCUGCCAGAGGGCCUCUGUGCAUGUAUAUUCUAACAUCCCCACCCCCAUCUGUACCCACAUAGCUUUACCUAGUUAACUUCUAUUAAUCCUUUAGGUCUCAAAUCUGGCACCAUUUACC
rnacentral:misc_RNA from 1 species